rnacentral:rRNA from 1 species
CGGAGGUGCAAGCGUUAUCCGGAUUCACUGGGUUUAAAGGGUGCGUAGGCGGGUAGGUAAGUCAGUGGUGAAAUCCUGGAGCUCAACUCCAGAACUGCCAUUGAUACUAUCUAUCUUGAAUAUUGUGGAGGUAAGCGGAAUAUGUCAUGUAGCGGUGAAAUGCUUAGAUAUGACAUAGAACACCCAUUGCGAAGGCAGCUUACUACGCAUAUAUUGACGCUGAGGCACGAAAGCGUGGGGAUCAAACAGGAUU